AUACCUAACAAAAAAUCUUCCACUGUUACUGCUUGAGUCAUUUGUCUUGUCGAUCCGCCUUAAUCUCUUUUGCUUUCCCCUUUUCUUUCGGAAUCACUCUGGAGUUUCACAGCACAAUACUUAAACAACUCUAAAUGCAGCUGCGGUUUACAUGCACCUGUAUGUUUGAAUUGUAUAUGUCAAUUUAGUACUAUGAUUUUGGGGUGAUAAAUUUUAGAGCCAAAGAGAAGAAACAUGGAGCUACAAAACAUUUUUAAAGAAGCCCUAAAUGCACUGCAUAAGCAUCCAUACAACGCAGAUCUCGCGCAAGACAUAAUUGGCUACAUGAUUUUCAACCCACUACGGAUGCUUGACAGGUAGUCAUCCAAUGAUGAAAAGGAGUUUAUUCUUGUGCGAAACAUGCUGCUUGCUACAAUAGAAGAACGAUACCAAGACGCAGGGACACCAUGUUUGUUGCUGCUGACCAGAUUGGGUUUAGACAUUGAGUUUGAUAGCGGCAAAAUAUUUGGUGGGGUAUAAUGCGAAAUAAUUGGACUAAUGGCAUGUACUAUAGUGCUUUUCACUUGGACAACUUAAUUUGGUCCAGCCUGUCGUUAUGGCCCGUCGUUCAAAAAUGCAAAAAAUGCUAGGGAUAAACUAGAAUGGAAGCAGAUAGACUUCCAAAUCACCCCAGAAAAUGGAGAACAAAAACUGGGCUGCUAGUGAUGACAAUUUGGAAUAGUUGGAGAUGAGUGAACUUCAGUCAUUGUAGAUUCAUUUAUUUAUAUCUUUACUAGAAUGAUCUUUACAUUGAUAUAUUGAUAUUUUCUGUUGUUACUAUAUAAUUCGGACUUUCAAUUGCUAUGCUUAUAUAUAGUAAUUGACAUUAGGAGUUGUCAGAACCCGUUAAAGAAAUUUAUUAAUUGGAUUUGAAUUCAAAAUUUUCAUUCUA